rnacentral:lncRNA from 1 species
CGAGUAGAUGCUAUUGAGUUUUAUCUACCCAUCUCUCACUGAGGAAUUUAUGAGUGAAGUUCUUGGUACGGAUCACUCUCAUGAAGCUUGGGUUGCCCUUGAAGCUUCAGUCUCUCAACGAUCCAAGAUUCGAGAACUUCAACUCAAGGAUGAGCUUUAGCUUAUGCAGCGUGGAUCUCAAACUGUUGCUGAAUUUUCUCGAAAGUUCAAGGGUCUUUGUGACAAGCUAGUUGCCAUUGGUCGUCUCAUUGACAACAUGGAUAAAGUUCAUUGGUUUUUAAGAGCGUUGGGUGCCGACUUCAAGAUCUUCUUUACCACUAUGCUCUCACACUUCCGUUACCUUCCUUUGCAGAUUUAGUCCCAAAAGCCUUGAGCCAUGAGAUAUUUGAAAGGUUGGUUUCUCCCCAAUCCUUGAACUCUCCAUUUUAUGUGCAGAACUCUUCCAGAUCAAAGGCACACAUGAAGAGCAAGCCUAAGCCGUCCUCUUCUACUGUUUUGAAAUCCUCCUCAUCUCCAGUUGUUUGUCAAAUAUGCGAUGUGGAAGGGCAUUUGGCCAAACAUUGCUGGACCUUUUUGAAUCUGAAAAAGAAGUAAUUAGCCUAUCUUGUUAAAGUCUUCACUGCUUGUUCAAUUCACGACUCCAAUGACUGAAUGAUUUCCUGAUUCCGACACUACUUCUCAUAUGACAAGUGAUGUCAACAGUGUGGAU